GACGAACGCUGGCGGCGUGCCUAUUACAUGCAAGUAGAACGCUGAAGCUUGGUGCUUGCACCGAGCGGAUGAGUUGCGAACGGGUGAGUAACGCGUAGGUAACCUGCCUGGUAGCGGGGGAUAACUAUUGGAAACGAUAGCUAAUACCGCAUAAGAGUAGAUGUUGCAUGACAUUUGCUUAAAAGGUGCAAUUGCAUCACUACCAGAUGGACCUGCGUUGUAUUAGCUAGUUGGUGAGGUAACGGCUCACCAAGGCAACGAUACAUAGCCGACCUGAGAGGGUGAUCGGCCACACUGGGACUGAGACACGGCCCAGACUCCUACGGGAGGCAGCAGUAGGGAAUCUUCGGCAAUGGACGGAAGUCUGACCGAGCAACGCCGCGUGAGUGAAGAAGGUUUUCGGAUCGUAAAGCUCUGUUGUAAGAGAAGAACGAGUGUGAGAGUGGAAAGUUCACACUGUGACGGUAUCUUACCAGAAAGGGACGGCUAACUACGUG
rnacentral:rRNA from 1 species